AUGAAACAAACCGGGGGCGGCGGGGCGCGGCCUCGCACCGGCGGAGACGCCGUUGUGCGGGCUCGUCCUGCCCCCUCAUCCACAACCCACACACCUGUGCACCAAAGGGACGGCGGGUGGAUAACGCACGCCGUCUCGCUUUAACAAGCUCAAAAGUCUAUUUUGAAUGUCAUUUAUUCGGGCUAGCCCCGAUGUAACUUAAACGUAA
rnacentral:misc_RNA from 1 species